rnacentral:lncRNA from 1 species
AUGAUUUGGUAAGAUUAUAUAUUUAACAUAUAGUAAUAUUUUUUUUUUUAGAGAGAGAUAGAUAGUACGCUAUCUGCUUCGUUUAUUUCAUUUAGAAAGUUUAUUUUCUAUACUAACCACCAAGCCCUUUGCCACUUACUCUAGUAAUAUUAAUGUUAUUAAAACACAAAGUGGUGUACAAAAUAUGACUCUUUCACAAAACCCUAAUUUCAAAAAUACAUCCAUACUUUUUUUCUCAUCUGUCGCACCAAAUCAAUAGAAUAAAGAGAAUAUUUAUUUUAGUGGCUAAAUUCUAAUACAAUUAGGAAUACAAAUCCACUAAAAUUAGGAAUAUUUUAAAUAGAUUAUGCAUAAUCUAAACUUAACUUAAUGGGAUAAUCAAAACAGAAUAAGAUUAGAAGAUCUUGUGAUUCUAGAAUUCGAGAUAUAUCUAACAAUUAAUCUCCACCUUGGUUUGAAUUUUCUGUCUUCUCUACCAAAAUCCCAAAAGCUCCUGAAGUGCUACUGCUGAUGCAAACAAGUUUACGGAAUACUUGAACUUAAUCGCCUAAAAACUUAAUAAGCAAAUCCGCGAGAUUCUCUUAAGUACCAAUCUUCUCAUUCUCCAACUACGCUUUUUGCAACCUCUGUUGCAUAAGAACGAUAGUUUGUCGUAGAGCGAAACUGUUGGAGCAAUCAAACUUCUUGAUUUCAAAUCUCGUUGACGCCUUAAACACCCAAACGAACAAUCCGGCUCUGAUACAAGUUUGUUAGAACUAAAACCGAAAAGAUCUAGUUCUACUACAUUUCAGUACCUGCCCGAUGUAGUACCAGUACACGACUUGGUACUGGUACUCACUACCCGGUUCCGCAAAACCCGAGAGCAGCCAAAUUCUAUGCUCUACUGAGUUCCGGUAUCUCAAGCUAGUAUCGGUACUCAACACCAAAAUUGCAGUUUGCUGAUUUUAAUGUCAAAAACCUGUUCUCGCACUCAUUUAGCUCCAAAAACAGGUCGACACACUCCAAACAACCAUCAAAACUUUCAGAAUAGCUCAAAAACUAUUCUUACACUGGAAACUUGCAAUUUGUUAAAGUUCAGUGUGCUACAAAAUUCCACCCUAACCUGGUGCAUGACAAAUCAUUAUAUAUUUUUUAGGGAUAAUUGCCUAUAUACCCCUCAUACAUUAGAAAAUAUCCGAUUUACCCCUAUUUCUUUUUUCUCUCUAAAAUAUCCCUCAUAUGUUCCAUUGUUAUUACAAAAUACUUCCGCAGUUAUUUCCUAUUAAGUUAACUAGGGUUAAACGUGAGUUAAAUAUCUACCACAAUUAAAAAAAAAUUAAAAUGCUAAUUUUACCCUUAACUUAAGUGCAAAUAAGAAAUAUUGGUGACGGUAGAGGGGUAUAUUGAAAGGGUAUAUUUGAAAGGACAAAAUAGUAAUUUUACAGAGAUAAUAGAGUUAAUUAACAGAUUUUAACUCUAGGGGUAUAUUAGAAAUAAGUUGGAAUGUAGAAAGGGUAUUUUCAAUAUUAGUCUUGUAAGAGGGGUAAAUCAAAAAAUCAGAAACUUUUCAGGGGUGUAUAAGCAAUUGUCCCUAUUUUUUAAGUAAUUUAAUGUGAUAU